rnacentral:lncRNA from 1 species
CUCCGUGUCUUUUCUUCAUAUAAACAUUUCUACCUGUAGCCAAGACGACAGUUGCAGGUAAAAAAUACUAAGCUAGCCCCGAAUAACCUCCGUCCAUUCCGCUCCGAGCUUAGCCAGCUUUGAAUUUUAUCAGCUUCCGGUUAUAAAUCGAUAUUUUCGGGCCAUUGGGAUCGGAUCGAAGAAGUUAAAACCUUUCCCAGGUAACGGGCGUCCGUACAGCGUGGGAAGGCGAUAUCGAGUGUAUGGAAGCGGCCUAUUAUCAAAUUUGGUGACGGUAUUAAUGGCCACGGAACAGUCGAUUUCCAGGCGAAGGUAACAGCGUCAGUAAGAACCACGCUAUUUUUAGGUGAUGCGCCUGUGGGUAGAUAGUUUUCAGUUUGGAAUAAAUAUUCGAUUCAAUUUACUCGGUUUGACGGCCAAUCGGGCAGCCUGUGGAGAACGACUUAAAACGACAACUGUUGGAACUGUUAGAAUCGAUUGGAAUGCGCGAAACAUCACGGCGCAGCCCAUCAUGGCGUAUAUCAGAGGCGUUCGAUCCGUCGAUGGCGGAGCCAUCUCUCGUUUCUUCCUCCCGACAAAUUUAAUUAAAACCGAAAACAGAAUCGUUUAUUUAUGAUUAUUUUUUAAUUUUCUUUAAGUGUAUGGUUACUGUUAGUUUAUUUUUCGUUAAAAUAGUCGAACUAAUAAUUUUCUGUUCAUUCGGAAGUAGAGGCGCCAAAAGUUUCCGAUAUUAAUUGAUACGGGACCAAAAAUUGUGUGGUGUUGGAGUGGACGUACCGGUCGGAAUCCGCUUUUUCGAAUUUCGGCCUGAUAAAAGAUGGAUAAACCAAAUUACAAACCGUGGUCCGCUAGAGGCCGCUUCUCGCUAUGGACCCGACUACCAAAAUACGAGCGGCUCCCAACCACGCCAAAUUUCGUAUUAACCCUUUUUUGUUUUAAUCAUCCGGCAUUUCCUGUAACUGAUCAGUUGGUAAUCGAUCCGUUGUUUUUUCUAACUCCAGUUUCCAAAACAGAGAAAUAAAUAUUUUGUUCCAAUAUCUUUGUUUUAUUUGUGGAAUCAAAACAAUUAAAAGCGCUAAAUAAAUUUUUAAAUACACGGAUAAAGUUUUCAGUUUCUUUAAAGUUUUUGGGGCUGGGAGAGUGGGUCCUUCCCAGCCAGUCAGACUGUUUAACUGCGCAGUCGUACUAAAUCAGAUACGGGGUGGGGAAGGUGAUGUAUACCGGAGAGCGGAUGGCCGAAUAACUUAGUGCGGAAAGACGGCCGGCCUAGUAAGAAAGGUCGAACACCACUGGUAUACGUUAUAGACAGGUGGAUAAUUUACUAAAUGUUAAAAUGGUGUGGAUACGGUAAUUUUUAUUCGGAGCCGAUAGCUUGUUUGUCAAAAUUGUCAUUAUUUUAUGGCAAUUUGUUAUAAGAUGGCCAAGAAUUUAGCGGCGCAGCGAUAUAAAUGAACUGGGGUUGUCCGGUAGACUCGGUACCGUCUUCCGACGCGGUCGGUGGUCGGGUAGUAGAUAAAACGGUAUUUUGGCGCCAAACAGCGGACUGGGACGCCUGGGGCCCGUUAAGCCUGGAUAUCGAGAUUUAGAUGGUAGCUUCUUUUAAAGCCAUUCUCUUUUCCAGCCAGUAGUAGCCUUUUAUCUUCUCUUUAUAUUUUGGCUUAAAAUUUGGCUAGCCUAAUUUGGGUGGCGCUGGGAAAAAGUGGAGAAGCGCGCGCUAUAAAAUAAUAAGGAGAGAGUAAGAUACCGUCAUUUUGCCUCGGACCGAUAUAAUUUGGUGGCCAAUUAUACGGUGGAGCCGUAGUAGAAAACGAGCGCCGGC